rnacentral:rRNA from 1 species
CCUACGGGUGACAGCAGUGAGGAAUAUUGGUCAAUGGACGCAAGUCUGAACCAGCCAUGCCGCGUGCAGGAAGACGGCUCUAUGAGUUGUAAACUGCUUUUGUACGAGGGUAAACGCAGAUACGUGUAUCUGUCUGAAAGUAUCGUACGAAUAAGGAUCGGCUAACUCCGUGCCAGCAGCCGCGGUAAUACGGAGGAUUCAAGCGUUAUCCGGAUUUAUUGGGUUUAAAGGGUGCGUAGGCGGUCGGAUAAGUUAGAGGUGAAAUCCCGAGGCUCAACAUCGGAAUUGCCUCUGAUACGGUGCGGCGAGAGAGUAGUAGCGGUAGGCGGAAUGUAUGGUGUAGCAGUGAAAUGCUUAGAGAUCAUACAGAACACCGAGGGCGAAGGGAGCUUACCAAGCUACUUCUGACGUUGAGGCACGAAGGCGUGGGGAGCAAAAAGGAUGAGAUACCCCAGUAGUC